rnacentral:lncRNA from 1 species
CCACAUUCUGCAAACCCCUCUGUUUUUAAGAUUCUAAAUUGAAAACGUCUGGAUGGAAAGUUAAAAUCAUUUAGCUGAAAAGGGUCCACAAGUAGGCCUACGUUGACAGUGGUGUUAGCAGCUCCAUCUUCUGCUGGUGCUGUAACCGCGGAGGUGGGUUUAGCUGAAGAAGGGACAACGUUAGCAGACUGGACAGCAGGACCAAUGUUGACAGGGCUGCCGGUGGUGGAGCUGGACAUGGAGUUGGUGGUAGUUGAAUCAUCCACGCUCGUCCUUGAAACUUUAAUAUUUUUAGGGUUUUUGAAAACCUCAGAAAUUCUCUUUUGCAACAUGCUCAAAUUCACACUGCGCUUCGUGUCUCUAACUGGAAUUACGUCCCUCAAGGUAACCUUAAGAGUAAACACUGCUUUGCUCAGCUUCUGUUCUUAGGACUUUCAGCCAAAGAUUACAAUGUGUAAAGCUGAAAACAGAUGUAUGGCCCAGGACCUUGGUGUUUGCAUAUUUCAAGAAAUGCGGAUAAAGUAAGUGACCAUACUUCAUUUUAACAUGUUAUACUGUAUUUAUUGAGCAGCUAUAUAUAAUUAUAUUUUAUUUCUUCUGCAGAACCAUGCAUCCAGAUGUCAAAACACUGCAAUGGAUUCAGUGUGACAGUUGUAACAAAUGGUUGCACAGUGACUGUGCUGGCAUUGAUCCAGCAAUGGUCACAGAGGACAUGCCAUUCGACUGUGGAUGUGACAUUGAUCAGUCAUAUCCUUAUGAUAAAACACUAUCAAUAUUGAAGCAGGGAUUGGUGGUGGACACUGUAAUGACAGACCAGGACAUUAUGGAACUACACAAUGGCUUGACACGUGGCAAAAUAAGAUCAAACAGGAUGCUUUUGCAUAACCAUCCAACAUUUUGUCCUAAACUGAAGAUGAGACUUAAUGAAAGGAUUUAUUUUUUUGAUGAACAACAGGUAAAA